rnacentral:lncRNA from 1 species
UAUGAAGGAGAAAGAAAAUAAAGGGUUUUUCAGUUUUUUUCAACGCAGUAAGAAAAAGCGAGACCAAACUGCAAGUGCCCCUGCAACCCCUCUAGUAAAUAAGCACCGCCCAACUUUUACAAGGUCCAAUACCAUUUCCAAACCAUAUAUUUCCAACACCCUGCCGUCGGAUGCACCCAAGAAGAGGCGGGCUCCACUGCCCCCGAUGCCAGCAUCUCAGAGUGUCCCCCAAGACCUUGCACACAUCCAGGAGAGGCCUGCUUCUUGUAUAGUGAAAUCCAUGAGCGUGGAUGAGACAGAUAAGGUGUGUAGUUUUGUUUUCUAUUUUGUUUUUUUGGAUGAGGCAGUGUACCAUUUAUUUUUCCUCUUACCUAACAUCUUUUCUAGGUAGACUAGUAAGAAGUAGUCCUAUAACAGUUGGUAAUUAGUAACAGUUACUAAUAUGUAAUAAGAUGAAUAGCUCAUUCUAAGAUUGGUACUAGGAAUAGAUCUUCUAUGUACAUACAGGUCUGUGAUGCAGUAAAGGAUAAAUGUCCAUUUUAAGUAACUUUCAUAUUCAAGC